rnacentral:rRNA from 1 species
AUACGGAGGAUGCGAGCGUUAUCCGGAUUUAUUGGGUUUAAAGGGAGCGUAGGUGGGAUAUUAAGUCAGCUGUGAAAGUUUGGGGCUCAACCUUAAAAUUGCAGUUGAUACUGGUUUCCUUGAGUACGGUACAGGUGGGCGGAAUUCGCGGUGUAGCGGUGAAAUGCUUAGAUAUCACGAAGAACUCCGAUCGCGAAGGCAGCUCACCGGGCCGGAACUGACACUGAUGCUCGAAAGUGCGGGUAUCAAACAGGAUUAGAUACCCUGGUAGUCCGCACAGUAAACGAUGAAUACUCGCUGUUUGCGAUGCACUGUAAGCGGCCAAGCGAAAGCGUUAAGUAUUCCACCUGGGGAGUACGCCGGCAACGGUGAAACUCAAAGGAAUUGACGGGG